rnacentral:miRNA from 14 species
CAUGUGUGUAUAUGUCUGUGAGUAUGUACAUGUGUGUAUAUGAAGAUAUACACACACACACACACACACAUACACACAUAUGCAAACACACACACA